AGAGUUUGAUCCUGGCUCAGGAUUAACGCUGGCGGUAUGCCUAACACAUGCAAGUCGAACGGAAUACUAAUUAAGAGAAUCUCACACUAGUGAGAGGUUCUCACGAGUAGUAUUUAGUGGCGGACGGGUGAGUAACACGUUGGAACCUGCCCCGAAGUGGGGAAUAACUGCUCGAAAGAGUAGCUAAUACCCCAUAGUAUCCGGUUUAUCCGGAUUAAAGAUUUAUCGCUUCGGGAGGGGCCUGCGUCUGAUUAGCUAGUUGGUGAGGUAAAAAGCUCACCAAGGCGACGAUCAGUAGCUGGUUCGAGAGGAUGACCAGCCACACUGGGACUGAGAUACGGCCCAGACUCCUACGGGAGGCAGCAGUGAGGAAUCUUCCACAAUGGACGAAAGUCUGAUGGAGCAAUACCGCGUGCAGGAAGACGCUUUUCGGAGUGUAAACUGCUUUUGUCGUCGAAGAUUAUGACUGUAGACGAAGAAUAAGGACCGGCUAACUACGUG
rnacentral:rRNA from 1 species